GAUGAACGCUGGCGGCGUGCCUAAUACAUGCAAGUCGAGCGAACAGAUAAGGAGCUUGCUCCUUUGACGUUAGCGGCGGACGGGUGAGUAACACGUGGAUAACCUACCUAUAAGACUGGGAUAACUUCGGGAAACCGGAGCUAAUACCGGAUAACAUAUUGAACCGCAUGGUUCAAUAGUGAAAGGCGGCUUUGCUGUCACUUAUAGAUGGAUCCGCGCCGUAUUAGCUAGUUGGUAAGGUAACGGCUUACCAAGGCAACGAUACGUAGCCGACCUGAGAGGGUGAUCGGCCACACUGGAACUGAGGCACGGUCCAGACUCCUACGGGAGGCAGCAGUAGGGAAUCUUCCGCAAUGGGCGAAAGCCUGACGGAGUAACGCCGCGUGAGUGAUGAAGGUCUUCGGAUCGUAAAACUCUGUUAUCAGGGAAGAACAAAUGUGUAAGUAACUGUGCACAUCUUGACGGUACCUGAUCAGAAAGCCACGGCUAACUACGUG
rnacentral:rRNA from 1 species